rnacentral:rRNA from 2 species
CGCAACCCUUAUCCUUUGUUGCCAGCGAUUAGGUCGGGAACUCAAAGGAGACUGCCAGUGAUAAACUGGAGGAAGGUGGGGAUGACGUCAAGUCAUCAUGGCCCUUACGACCAGGGCUACACACGUGCUACAAUGGCGCAUACAAAGAGAAGCGACCUCGCGAGAGCAAGCGGACCUCAUAAAGUGCGUCGUAGUCCGGAUUGGAGUCUGCAACUCGACUCCAUGAAGUCGGAAUCGCUAGUAAUCGUGGAUCAGAAUGCCACGGUGAAUACGUUCCCGGGCCUUGUACACACCGCCCGUCACACCAUGGGAGUGGGUUGCAAAAGAAGUAGGUAGCUUAACCUUCGGGAGGGCGCUUACCACUUUGUGAUUCAUGACUGGGGUGAAGUCGUAACAAGGUAACCGUAGGGGAACCUGCGGUUGGAUCACCUCCUUACCUUAAAGAAGC